GACGAACGCUGGCGGCGUGCCUAACACAUGCAAGUCGAGCGGGGUUGAGGCGAGAGGUAACUCGAACUUCUACCUAGCGGCGGACGGGUGAGUAACGCGUGGGCAACCUGCCUCAAGGUUUGGGAUAACAGCCCGAAAGGGCUGCUAAUACCGGAUAUGCCUAUGGCCUCGCGUGGGGCUAUGAGCAAAGGGGAAACCCGCCUUGAGAUGGGCCCGCGUCCCAUCAGCUAGUUGGUGAGGUAACAGCUCACCAAGGCGACGACGGGUAGCCGGCCUGAGAGGGUGACCGGCCACACUGGGACUGAGACACGGCCCAGACUCCUACGGGGGGCAGCAGUGGGGGAUCUUGCACAAUGGGCGAAAGCCUGAUGCAGCGACGCCGCGUGAGCGAAGAAGGCCUUCGGGUUGUAAAGCUCUGUCUGGAGGGACGAACAAAAUGACGGUACCUCCGGAGGAAGCCACGGCUAACUACGUG
rnacentral:rRNA from 1 species